UUGGAAUGCAUAUUAUAAACACUGAACAAAAGUUGAUCAUUUUUUUAUUUAUCUUUUUUGUCUUGUUUUUUUCCCUUUCAGCCAAUAAACCAGUGAUUCUGGUUGUGCUGCAUGAAACCAACAACAGAAACCCGGCUUUAGCAGAAAGCAGCAGACAAGUGCAUGACUUGAACGUCGUCCUGACUGUGGAUUUUCUGUUUUGUAACGAGCAUCUCCUCCAGUGUAGCUGCAAUAAUAAAUCAUGGGCUCAGAUCCAGAAUCAUCUUGGACGUUCCAACCAAUUGAUUGGCUUUCAAAACGCUGGAGAAUGGUUGAAGAAUUUAGUGACAACAAAAAAGCUGAAAAUUUUGUGUGUAAUUCUCUUUAUAGAGAUAGUUGUGCUGGUGAUUAUUAUAUUGGUUCGUAAAAACAACCAGGUGGAGUGUUGACGUCCUGAAAAACCUUGAAGUAAAAUUAUUCAGAUGCAAAUGUUUCUGGGUUGAUGAUUUAUUCACAUUUAUUCUGUUACAACAUGAUGAUGUAAAGGUAUCAUUAUAAACAGAGUAAGAGUUAAUUAAAUGUUUUAUUUAAAAUAUUUUAGGGAAACAUUGGAUAUGUUUUAAAGACCUUUUUUAUUUCUUAAAUGGGAUUAAUGUCUUUGUUUUGUGAUGAUAAAUAAUAUGUUGUACCAAGAAGUCUGAAAACUGUCUCUCUGCUGCUUGGGUGAAGCUUCAAUAAAAAGAGUUUUAUUGUGAAUAAAUGUUGUAUUGUUAUA